rnacentral:rRNA from 1 species
UAGGGAAUCUUCGGCAAUGGACGAAAGUCUGACCGAGCAACGCCGCGUGAGUGAAGAAGGUUUUCGGAUCGUAAAACUCUGUUGUUAGAGAAGAACAAGGACAUUAGUAACUGAACGUCCCCUGACGGUAUCUAACCAGAAAGCCACGGCUAACUACGUGCCAGCAGCCGCGGUAAUACGUAGGUGGCAAGCGUUGUCCGGAUUUAUUGGGCGUAAAGCGAGCGCAGGCGGUUUCUUAAGUCUGAUGUGAAAGCCCCCGGCUCAACCGGGGAGGGUCAGUGGAAACUGGGAGACUUGAGUGCAGAAGAGGAGAGUGGAAUUCCAUGUGUAGCGGUGAAAUGCGUAGAUAUAUGGAGGAACACCAGUGGCGAAGGCGGCUCUCUGGUCUGUAACUGACGCUGAGGCUCGAAAGCGUGGGGAGCAAACAGG